rnacentral:rRNA from 1 species
CACGGGGGGAGCGAACGUUGUUCGGAAUCACUGGGCGUAAAGGGCGUGUAGGCGGUUCGGUAAGUGGAAUGUGAAAUCCCCCGGCUUACCCGGGGAACUGCAUCCCAUACUGCUGGACUUGAGUGCGGGAGAGGAUGGAGGAAUUCCUGGUGUAGCGGUGAAAUGCGUAGAUAUCAGGAGGAACACCUGUGGCGAAGGCGGCAUCCUGGACCGGCAUUGACGCUGAGGAGCGAAAGCCAGGGGAGCAAACGGG